rnacentral:sRNA from 2 species
CUCUGCCGCUUCCCGGAUUCCGCAAGACGAGGCAGAGGCGGGGGAACCAGAGUCCCGGGCUUUUCGCAUCAGCCCUUGGGGUGAAGCCGACACGUGAAUUUCCGUGCGGCCGGAUGACCUCAUCCGAACCCGACAGCUAACUCCGCAGGUGUUGAGAGGCAAU